ensembl:snRNA U2 U2 spliceosomal RNA
AUAGUUGCUCUUGUCCUUUUGGCUAAGAUCAAGUGAAGUAUCUGUUCUUACCAGUUUAAAGUUUGAGAAUGAUUGCCACAUGUUUGGAUGCCCUCAUUCCCAUGGGUCACUGACAAAGAAUACCUCUU